rnacentral:lncRNA from 1 species
CCUCAACUCCAUCUUCAUCCUCACCUUCAUCCCCAUCCCCAUCCCCAUCCCCAUCCUCAUCCUCGUCAUCGUCCCCAUCAUCGCUCUUGACCUCGCUCUUGGUGUUGCCCUCGUUCUUGUUGUCCUCUACGUGCUCCUCAUCCUCAUUCUCAACUCCGUCUUCGUCCUCACCUUCAUCUUCAUCUUCAUCUCCACCCCCAUCCUCAUCUUCAUCCUCAUCCUCAUCUUCAUCUUCAUCUUUGUCUUCUUCAUCCUCAUGGUUUUCCCCACCCUCAUCCUCAUCCUCAUCAUCGUUCUUGACCUCGCUCUUGGUGUUGCCUCCGUUCUUGUUGUCCUCUAUGUGCUCCUCCUCCUCCUCAUUUUCAUCCUCAACUCCACCUUCAUCCUCACCUUCAUCUCCAUCCCCAUCACCAUCCUCAUCCUCAUCCUCAUCCUCAUCCUCAUUCCCAUCCUCAUCCUCAUCCUCAUCCUUGUCUUCUUCAUCCUCGUUGUCUUCCCCAUCCUCAUCCUCAUCCUCAUUCCCAUUCACAUCAUCGUUCUCGACCUCGUUCUUGGUGUUCCCUUCAUUCUCGCUGUCUUCAUCUUCAUCCUCAACUCCAUUUUUGUCUUCACUCUCAUCUUCAUCUCCACCAUCAUCCUCAUCCCCAUCCCCUUCCUCAUCCUCAUCCUCAUCCUCAUCCUCACCCUUGUCUUCUUCAUCCUCAUCCUCAGUCCCGUUCUCAUCCUCAUCAUCGUUCUUGACCUCAUUCUUGGUGUUCCCUUCAUUCUCAUUGUCCUCAUCUUCAUCUCUGCACUCAUCCUCAUCUUCAUCCUCAACUCCACCUUUGUCCUCAGCUUCAUCUUCAUCUCCAUCACCAUUCUCAUUCUCAUUUUGUUCUCUGUAUCCUCAUUGUCCUCCCCAUCUUCAUCCUCACUGGCCUCCUCAUCCUCAUCCUCACUGACCUCCUCAUUCUCCUUUUCGUUGCCGUCUUCAUUCCCGUUAACGUCUUCAUCCUUUUUGUGCUUUUCAUCCUCAUCUUCAUUCUCAUUUUUGUUGGCUUCUUCAUCGGCACUCUUGCCUUCCUCAUCCUCAUCCUCACUGGCCUCCUCAUCUUCAUCUUCGUUCUCAUUGACCUCUUCAUCCUCAUCCUCAUCCUCAUUGGCCAACUCAUUCUCCUUGGCCUCCUCAUCCUCAUCUUCAUCCUCUUCCUCAUCCUCGUUGACUUCCUCCUCCUCGUUCUUAUCCUCAUCCUCCUCCUUGUCGUCCUCCUCAGCCUCAUCCCCAUCGUCCUUCCCAUCUUCCUCCUCCUUGUCCCCAUCUUCCUCUUCCUCCUCCUCCUCCUCCUCAUCUUCCUCACCCUCCCCAUCUUCCUCCACCUCCCCGCUCAUUUCUUCUCAAACUUUUCCUUCUCCUCAUCCUCAUCUUCAUCCCCCCCCAAUCUUCACCACUGUUCUCAGCUCUUCCUUUUUGCCCCCCAAUUUUCUCUUCAUCACUCUCCUCCUCUUCAUCACCCUCCUCCUCUUCAGCGCUCUCCUCCUCCUCCUCAUCACUCUCCUCCUCCUCAUCACUCUCCUCCUCUUCAUCACUCUCCUCCUCCUCUUCAUCGCCCUCCCCCUCUUCAUCACUCUCCUCCUCUUCAUUUCUCUCCUCCUCCUCUUCAUCGCCCCCCUUCAUUGCUCCCCUCCUCUUCAUCACCCUCCCCCUCCUCUUCAUCACCCUCCACCUCUUCAUCCUCCUCCUCCUCUUCUUCAUCACUCUCCUCCUCCUCAUCACCCUCCCCCUCCUCUUCAUCGCCCCCCUUCAUCGCUCCCCUCCUCUUCAUCACCCUCCUCCUCCUCUUCAUCACCCUCCUCCUCUUCAUCGCUCCCCUCCUCUUCAUCUCUUCCCUCCUCUUCAUCCUCCUCCUCCUCCUCUUCAUCGCCCCCCAUCCCCAUGGUAACGUUCUCUUCUUUCGCUCCUCACCCUCAGCUCUUCCACCAUCACCGCUCAGCGCCGUCUCCGCCUCCACCUUCAUCGCCCUUCAUCUUCCUCCUCCUCACUCUUCUUCUUCUCGAGCUCCUCUUCCUCAUCCUCGUUGGCAUCGCUCUCUUUCUCCACCUCGUAAUCAUUUUUUGCCAUUUCCUCCUUUUUUCCCUUCUCCUUUUUAUUUCCUUUUCCUCAUUUUUUUUCUUAUUUCUCAAUUUCCCUUUUCCUCAUCUUUUCCUUCUCCUCAUUUUUCCUUUUUCUCAUUUCCCCUUUUCUUCAUUUUUUCCUUUUUCUCAUUUUUUUUGCUUUUCCUCGUUUUUUCUUUUUCUUUUUUUCCUUUUUCUCAUUUUCUUCCUUAUCCUUUUUUCCUUUUUCUCAUUUCCCCUUUCCCUUGUUUUUUCCUUUUCCUCAUUUUUCCUUUUUCCUCAUUUUUCCUUUUUCCUCAUUUUUCCUUUUCCUCACUUCUCCUUUUCCUCAUUUUUCCCUUUUCCUCUUUUUCUCAUUUUCCUCGUUUUUCCUUUUCAUCAUUUUUCCCUUUUCCUCAUUUUUCCUUUUUCUCAUUUUCCCCUUUUCCUCGUUUUUUUGCUUUUCCUCAUUCUUCCAUUUCCUCUUUUUCUUCAUUUUCUCAUUUUCUUCCUUUUCCACGUUAUUCCAUUUCCUUUUUCCUUUCUUUUUUUCUCUUUUUCUUCUUGCUCUUUAUUUUUUUUUCAUUUUUCCCCAUUCCUCUUUUGUUCCUGUCCUUUGUUAUUCCAUUUUCCUCAAUUCUUUUCCUCAUUUUUUCCUCACUUUUUCCUUUUUCUCAUCCAUUCCAUUUCCUCUCCCAUCCCAUUCCCCGUUCAUCCCUUUCCCCCCCACCGCUGCCUUCGUUAUCUCCCCCCUUCUCGCUCGUUAUCACUCUGCUAAUCCUUCAUUUCCUUCUCUUCACCCCCUUCAUGGCGGACCCCCACCCUUUUCCUGCUCCUCUUCCUCCUCCUCCUCCUCCUCACCGCUCACUUUUCCUGUUCCCAGUUCUCCAUUUCCUCCUCCCCCUCCCCACUUCCUGUCCCCAUUUUCGUCAUCAUUUUUCUCCUUUCCCUUUCCCUUUCCCUUUUCCUUUUCCUUUUUUUCCUCCUCCUGGGAUCCCAACACCUGGGUGGGCUCCAACCCCCAUCACCCACCCCAAGGGGGGGACCCCGACCUCUGGGUGGGCUCCAAACCCUAUACCCAACCUUGGGGAGGGGAUCCCACCCUCUAGAUGGGCUCCAGUGCCCCACAACUCAUCCUAAAAGGGGGACCCCGACCUCUGGGUGCUCUCUGGGCCCCCAUAACCCAUCGUGGAGAGGGGAUCCCAAGCUCCAGGUGGUCUCCAACCCCUAUGACCCGCUCUAAGGGUGAGACCCCAACCUCCAGGUGAUCUCCUGCACCCCAUGACGCGUUCUAAGAAGGGGACCCCAACCUCUGGGUGGUCUCCAACCCCCAUAACCCACCCUAAGAAGAGGACCCCAGCCUCUAGGUGGUCUCCAACCCCCAUAACC